CAGCAGCCACGGUAAUACGAAGGGGGCUAGCGUUGUUCGGAAUCACUGGGCGUAAAGGGUGCGUAGGCGGAUUCUUAAGUCAGGGGUGAAAUCCCGAGGCUCAACCUCGGAACUGCCUUUGAUACUGGGGAUCUUGAGUCCGGAAGAGGUGAGUGGAACUGCGAGUGUAGAGGUGAAAUUCGUAGAUAUUCGCAAGAACACCGGUGGCGAAGGCGGCUCACUGGUCCGGAACUGACGCUGAGGCACGACAGCGUGGGGAGCAAACAGGAUUAGAUACCCCCGUAGUCCCUGUCUCUUAUAC
rnacentral:rRNA from 1 species